GACAGAGGGUGCAAACGUUUGUUCGGAAUUACUGGGCGUAAAGCGAGUGUAGGCGGUUCGAUAAGUCGGAUGUGAAAGCCCCGGGCUCAACCCGGGAAGUGCACUCGAUACUGUCGAGCUAGAGUAUCGGAGAGGUUGGUGGAAUUCUCGGUGUAGAGGUGAAAUUCGUAGAUAUCGAGAGGAACACCGGUGGCGAAGGCGGCCAACUGGACGAAUACUGACGCUGAGACUCGAAAGCGUGGGGAGCAAACAGG
rnacentral:rRNA from 1 species